rnacentral:tRNA from 1 species
GGUUUUAUAGUCAUUAUAUAUGUGAUAUCAAGUUGCAAGCUUGAAGGGGUAUUUUAUACUAAAGCUU